rnacentral:rRNA from 1 species
GUGGGGAAUAUUGGGCAAUGGGGGAAACCCUGACCCAGCGACGCCGCGUGGGUGAAGAAAUCCUUCGGGAUGCAAAGCCCUGUUGUUUGGGAAGAGCGGAAGACGGUACCAUACGAGGAAGCCCCGGCAAACUACAUGCCAGCAGCCGCGGUAAUACGUAGGGGGCAAGCGUUGUCCGGAAUUACUGGGCGUAAAGCGCACGCAGGCUGAAUUAUAAGUCGGUAGUCAAAGGCGGAGGCUCAACCUCUGUAUAUCUAUCGAUACUGUAAAUCUGGAGUAUGUGAGAGGGAAGCGGAAGUCCCGGUGUAGCGGUGAAAUGCGUAGAUAUCGGGAGGAACACCAGUGGCGAAGGCGGCUUCCUGGCACAAUACUGACGCUCAUGUGCGAAAGCUAGGGCAGCGAACGGGAUUAGAAACCCGAGUAGUCC